AUGGCGACGCCGCCGGCGCCGUCGCCGUCGCCGGUCAGGCUCCGGCUCGUGUUCGACAAGGCCCGCCUUCUCCGGCGGGCGCAGAGGGACCUCCGGCGCUGCUGGCUCCUCCUCCGGCCCGAGCUCGCCACCGUCGCCGACCUCGCCGCCCACGUGGCCGCCCGCUUCCGCCUCCACCGCUCCUGCCCCGGCGGCGUCGUCUUGACGAUGGAUGGAUUCGCCGUGCCGCCUUUCGAGUCGACCUGUAUCUUCAGGGACAAGGAUAUCAUAAGGGUUCAACAGAAAGCUUGCAAGAGAAUGGUACACCAUGAUGAUGUACACUGUAUUGAAGAUCCCGAGAAAGUAGAAAUGCGUCCGCUUCCGACUGAGGAUAAAAUCCUUGCAAUUGAGUAUCAAAUUGACUCUAGUAAGCAUCAAGAAGAAGAGGUGCAUUGUGAUCAUCAGCCUGAAGAAAAGGUAACAUCCGACCACGAUCUAGAAAAUGGGCAUACAAGCUCGAAGAGGAAACGAAAAGAUGAAGAUGCAAAAAUACCUGAGAGCUCAAGGAGAAAGAAACUGAAGAAGGCAAAACACAUCGGGUGCAGCAAGGUAGAUGACAUUUGCCAAGAUCAGGGAUCUCAUGGUUCCAAAGAGUCGAAGCCGUCCACUAUUGGUAUUGAAGAAAAGAAGGCUGAUAUUCAAACUGAAUGUACUGUUGAGUUGGAUGGAAAGCAAAAACCUGACAGGUGCAAUAAGACCGAGUUGAGUUGCGAAACUGAGGUGGCUGGGCAGACAACUCAAAUUCCUAAAACGAGUCGAAGUGCUCGUCGUAAGAAAAUCAAAAGGCAACUUAGGAAGCUAGAGAAAGAAAAGCUGAAAGAGAAUGUGGACUGCCAGGAAUCACCCGCUGCUGCUGACUGUCCAUCCUCAAGCAAUCACGAUGAUCUUCCUUGCCCGUCAAGCAAUGAGAAUGGCCCUCACUUGCCAUUUUCAAGCCAUGAAGCAGAGGAGGAAGAAUCUGAUGCAUCAGAAGAUAUUGUUCCAGUUGUGGUUCGUCCUGGUCACAUUCGCUUUGAGCCAGCAGAAUUAUUUGUGUUUCUAGGUGAACCAAAUACGUCAUCAGCGAAGGAAACACAGGCAAAUUUCACAUGGGGUGGAACCAUGAGCAAAAAGAAGGGACAGAAGUGGGGAAUGAACAACUCAAAUAAGAAAAGUGCUCAUACCUGCAAUCUUGGGAAAAUAGUUGGAAGCGAUACUGAAGUUAACCACCUUGUGGUAGAUAGUAGGGAUGAGGAAAAUGUUUUUUCUGGGGCCAGUAAUCAAAAAGUCAAUGAGAUCAAUCAUGAUGUGUUAGCAAAGGAAAAAUCUGUUGCUGAGGAAGGGAAGUCUGCCAGCGAACCUUUGGACUUUGAAGCUCUGUACCCCCUAACACGUCUUCCAGUGGAGGGAGAUCUGAUUGCUUAUCGAUUGGUUACGCUGUCUUCCUUGUGGUGUCCGGAGAUUUCUUCGUAUCGGGUUGGUAAAGUUCUUAUGUAUGAUCUGAUAUCAUCGCGCAUCAUUCUGUUACCUGUUCCGGAGCAUCCAAUCAUCACGGAGGAAAUGACAUGCGAGGACGAGUCAGAUGCUAUGAUGGUGGAUACGUCACCCUACAAGGAAGAUGGCUCCUUGGAGAUUGAGUACUCCAACCUUCUCGAUGUAAGACUAGUGAAGGGCAGCAAGCCAGUAUCCGCAGACCUUAGCACUCCCAUUAGAGAAACAGGGAAGGAAGGCAAAUCACCAGUCGGAGAACCGGUCGCCUUGGACGAAAACAAGGGCAAAGUUCAUAGCCAGAAUGGAACCUCGGUGCCAGCCUUGGACGAAAACAAGGGCAAAGUUCAUAGCCAGAAUGGAACCUCGGUGCCACCAGAUAGCAGUAAAGGCCCAGAAGCGCCACCAGAGAACACGCGUGAUAAGGCCUGGGAGGCAAGCAGCGAGGUCCCAAACGGCAAGCCUGACGAUGAAGCCGAGGGGAACAAUGGGUGGGGAGCUUGGAAACAGAACGCUAGCACGUCGGCGUGGUCGUAUAGAGCGCAGAGAAGCACCGCCCUUGGUCCGACCCUCGCGCUUCUGAGAGGCAACAAUGGCAGAGGAGGUGGCAGGGGAGGCGGUAGGGGAGGCGGUAGGGGAGGCGGUAGGGAAGGCGGCAGGGGAGGCAAACCCAACAACCGGAAGUACGGCAAGUGA
rnacentral:rRNA from 1 species